ACACCUGUUGCUUUGGCGGGCCCACCGGGGCCACCUGGUCGCCGGGGGACGCACGUCCCCGGGCCCGCGCCCCCCGAAGCGCUCUGCGAACCCUGAUGAAGAUGGGCUGUCUGAGUACGAUGAAAAUUGUCAAAACUUUCAACAAUGGAUCUCUUGGUUCCGGCAUCGAUGAAGAACGCACCGAAAUGCGAUAAGUAAUGUGAAUUGCGCAAUUCCUUGAAUCAUCUGAUCAUUGAACUCACAUUGCGCCCCCUGGAAUUCCGGGGGGCAUGCCUGUCAUUCCCGGGGGGUAUGCCUGCCAGAGCGGCUUUUCUGCUCUGUAGCGUCGCUUGUGUGAUGUGUGUGGACCGCCCCGGCAACUGCCGGAAAGGCAGCGGCCACAUCCGUCUGGUCCUCUAGCGCAGGGGAGGUCCGUCACGCGCUCGGGAAGGACCUGCGGGGGUUGGUCAGCACGACAUUUUAGCACGGUUGACCUCAGAUCAUGUAGGAGUUACCCGC
rnacentral:rRNA from 1 species